rnacentral:rRNA from 1 species
AGAGUUUUGAUCCUGGCUCAGGAUGAACGCUAGCUACAGGCUUAACACAUGCAAGUCGAGGGGCAGCAUGUUGGUUGCUUGCAACCAAUGAUGGCGACCGGCGCACGGGUGAGUAACGCGUAUCCAACCUUCCCCUUAGUAGGGCAUAGCCCGGCGAAAGUCGAAUUAAUACCCUAUGUUGUCCGAGGAUGGCAUCAGAAUUGGACUAAAGAUUUAUCGCUAAGGGAUGGGGAUGCGUCUGAUUAGCUUGUCGGCGGGGUAACGGCCCACCGAGGCAACGAUCAGUAGGGGUUCUGAGAGGAAGGUCCCCCACACUGGUACUGAGACACGGACCAGACUCC